rnacentral:lncRNA from 1 species
GUUUUGCUCUUGGCUUCAAUCCUUUUUUUUUUGUACAGAAACACAAUAACUUCAUCAAAAACUGAUGGUACAUGGUAUAAUAGGCAUUUGAGCUUUUGGUGUAGAAAUCUGAAUCUCUGCCUUUGUGCCAGUAAGCCACAUGGACUUUUUUUCGUAGCAAGACUGAUUUUGUAGGCAAAAGAUUGUAUGCAAUCCACUUUUCUAUAUCAGUUGUGUAGGUGCUUGGCUCAUGUUCAUAUUCAAUGCAUAUGACAUGAGUAAAGUAGUAUAGGAUUCUUAUCUUUACUCUUAAAUUGCAAGUUUUUGAAUAUCCAUGAGGUCUUUCUAUGUAAAACCUGGUAGCAUCAAGUACAAGGUAUGUAGGCUUGCCGAUGUGUGGGGAAUUGGAGCAUAUUAAAUCUUUGUUACACUGAUGGAAGCAUUAUUCAUCCUUUUUUAAAAUCAUAUUUCAUACAUUAGAUUCAAGUGGGUUAUGAACUCCCAUUUUUACCCCAAAUAGAGAUUGCUGUUUGAUUUUUAUGCCUAAACACAGAACAUGGUUGGAAAUGGAAUGAGAGAAGGUCUAGUCUUUCAAAUGCAGUGAAGAGAAGUGUAUCUUCACCAGGCAGGUAUUUGAGGCCCCCCCAUGUCACAGGCAUGGAAUAAAUACCUGGUGGUUUCUAAUGGAAAAAGAUCUGAAAGGCUUUUCCAUUUGCACUGCCAGGGUAGUCAUGUGGCAAAUCCAGGCUGGCCUAGCCCCUUGGUGUUUGAGACACUGUGUUAGGCUUCUCUUCUAGGUUUCUUGUUCAGAAUGAAUUAGGGUGACUGACUAUAUUUGCAUAUCAUAUCUUUACACUAUUCAAGGAUAACUGCUCAGAGGAAUAUCGUUGGACCUUGAACACUACAUCCCCCCGGCCCCUCCAGACUCCCAGGGAAGCCAACUCAGUGUUUCUCUCUCCUUGUUCCUUCCUAUCCUAAAGGUUUCUUCUGUUUGGCUUCAGAAACAGAAACAGCUUCCUUAUUUUUUUCUUCAUACCCCCUCAUCUC